rnacentral:rRNA from 1 species
AGUGAACGCUGGCGGUAGGCCUAACACAUGCAAGUCGAACGGCAGCACAGCAGUAGCAAUACUGUGGGUGGCGAGUGGCGGACGGGUGAGGAAUACAUCGGAAUCUACCUUUUCGUGGGGGAUAACGUAGGGAAACUUACGCUAAUACCGCAUACGACCUUAGGGUGAAAGUAGGGGAUCGCAAGACCUUACGCGGAUAGAUGAGCCGAUGUCGGAUUAGCUAGUUGGCGGGGUAAAGGCCCACCAAGGCUACGAUCCGUAGCUGGUCUGAGAGGAUGAUCAGCCACACUGGAACUGAGACACGGUCCAGACUCCUACGGGAGGCAGCAGUGGGGAAUAUUGGACAAUGGGCGCAAGCCUGAUCCAGCCAUACCGCGUGGGUGAAGAAGG